rnacentral:lncRNA from 1 species
AUUUCCUUAAAGAAGCACCUCUUGAAAUGUCUGGAAUUGAUCCUGGCAAAACAGAGGAAAGGUAAUUGUACCCACCUGUUUCAUCAGAUAAGAGAAAUAAAUGGAAAGCAAGUCCUGAAAAGAAGGGAGGAUAUACAAGGUGACACACAAGAAGUUCCCAUGUAAACCUUUCUGACUUGUCAGCAGCAGGGAGAUAGAAGUUGGAUGUACUGGAAGGCAUUGUGGUAGCUGGAUCUGUAAUGACCUUUUCCAUGGAUCAGACUGCUCUCCUUCUCCAUAGUGCCAAAGGAACUACUGCUGCUCCCUGGAUGGUACUGAGAAUCACCCAGAACCUGUAGGGUCCUUAUGAAGAAUUUUGAUCUGCCAGACUACAGAAAGAAGCAAACAAAAGACAAUCUGUGGGUGGAAUUGUGGCAUUAAGGGUGGACAUCCCAGGCUGCACUUCUAAAAGCUUAGACUGAAUUUGUUCACCUUUUCAGAUGAGGAGAUUUACUUGCAAUCUUCAAAGGAUUAGUAAAGGAUAGCUCUUGCUUUUUCAAAGCAUAGCUACUGGGAAAUUUUAGCUGGACAAUCU